GUUAUAAGCCCACAAAUGUGUAACUCGACUACUUCUUUAAAGUGACACCAGGCCCGGUGACCUUUGGGACAUGGUUUGACCCCCUUACGAAUGUGCUAUCAUCGUGAAACAUUCAGAUCACUUACAACUCAAUAGAUUCUACCUUCCUGUAAUUUUUCGGCCUGAUUGGUCCUUGUUUUCACACAAAUGGACCCAGAAUGAUGUGAAAUUGUGCUUUGUGCGACAUAAUUCUGGGUGCCAUUAAAGAGCAAGUAACGUCUAAAUUAACUUUUUUUUGCUGAUGAACUGUAUAAAUGAGUGUCUAAUAGUGUUUUAAAUGUGUGCAUUUUUUAUUUUAGCAUUUUGGUGCAUUUUCUUUAAAAAUUAAAAAUUCUGUCCAAAAACCACAGUAAUGCGCCACCUUCAGCUGAAAACAUAGAAUUUGAGUCAUUUUGAAUAAAUUUUAGCCAAUGGCUAAAGAGUAAAGUACUAUGUAAACCAGUAGAGUACUACGUAGCAGCUCCGUGCCAAAGUUAUAAAAGCAACGAGCGUCUCGGCCACGCCCUGUGGCGAGUGGGAGUUGGAUUUGCAAGUGAGUGUAGGAGGUCAGCGGUAGUUCAGCAUUAGCAUUUAGCAUUAGCAUAUCCUAGUCUUAGCAUAUCUUUUAGUGUUAUAAAUACUUAUUUAGUGUUAGAUUUGGCUGUUUGAUAUUGUAGUUUAGUUAGUGUUUGGCUGUUAGUGUAAUUGGGAAAGUAUUUCGGGUUUAGUGCUCCAUAUCGUCUUAGUAUUGGUGAGUAGGUGUAGUGUAGUAUGCUUGCGGUGACUCUGUGGGCAUUUUACCUGCGAUUCUGCACGUCUCCGUUUGAAGAGGGAGGCUGCCCACCGUGGCUCUUCCGCGAUUUAGAUGCAGCCCACCGACUCUGCUCCCCCACCACGGUGGGCUCCAGUCUGAGGUGAGUAAGCUAAAUAAACGUUUUAACAUCUUCUAAAGACAAUUCCCUACCUAAAUGCAAAGUUUGAGAGACGUGGUUCACUUCCUUUAGCUAGUCAGUCGGCAAUUCUGCAAAAGUGGCUCUAACUGACGCAGCACUUGACAGACAGCAUUACAGCGUGAAAUCCAGCUUGUGAACAGGUUCUGUGAGGAAUUCUGUUCAGGAGGUCGCAUUUCAGGCUCUCCACAUCAUGUGUGACUGACUUUUACGUUAUAAUGAUCACACACUAGGAAUGUUAUAAAGCGCCUAUAUGGGACAGUUUCUUUUGUAUAUUAUCUGACUUUAUAAACUCUCAACAACAAUGUGCUUAUAUAUUUUUUUCAGGCUAAAUCUACCCAAGACACUGGCUGUCAGACUGAUUUAGCUGCAAGAAUGCACUUGUCCAGGCUGACGUGAAACCUUCCCUGUAGCAAAGCCAGCCAGAAUGGAGUUCACAGCCGCAGAGUGUCUGGUGACCCACGGGGACCAUGAUGAAAAUUCAUCUUCCAGAAGGUCCCAGAGCAGCGGCCGCACCCCCUGAAAAGACCAAGGUGUGAGGUGUCUGCUGUUGAUUCCAGCUUCCACCUCAGUGACGGUGCAAGCUCAGUGAACUGUUCAAGCCUGGCUGAUCACCUGAUAACUCCUGUCAUCUGGUUAUGACAGCAUGAGGAUGUCCUCACACACCUGUAACCUAUCAGCUCAUCUGGCAGAAUAGAGAGAGAAGAGACAAAACCACAUCUC